CGCAAGCGGUGGAGCAUGUGGUUUAAUUNGAAGCAACGCGAAGAACCUUACCAANUCUUGACAUCNUCUGANUCCUCUAGAGAUAGAGUUUUCCCNUUCGGGGGACAGAGUGACAGGUGGUGCAUGGUUGUCGUCAGCUCGUGUCGUGGGAUGUUGGGUUAAGNCCCGCAACGAGCGCAACCCUUAAGCUUAGUUGCCAUCAUUAAGUUGGGCACUCUAAGUUGACUGCCGGUGACAAACCGGAGGAAGGUGGGGAUGACGUCAAAUCAUCAUGCCCCUUAUGAUUUGGGCUACACACGUGCUACAAUGGACAAUACAAAGGGUAGCGAAACCGCGAGGUCAAGCAAAUCCCAUAAAGUUGUUCUCAGUUCGGAUUGUAGUCUGCAACUCGACUAUAUGAAGCUGGAAUCGCUAGUAAUCGUAGAUCAGCAUGCUACGGUGAAUACGUUCCCGGGUCUUGUACACGCCGCCCGUCACACCACGAGAGUUUGUAACACCCGA
rnacentral:rRNA from 1 species